rnacentral:rRNA from 1 species
UAAUACGUAGGGUGCGAGCGUUAAUCGGAAUUACUGGGCGUAAAGCGUGCGCAGGCGGUUGUGUAAGACAGAGGUGAAAUCCCCGGGCUCAACCUGGGAACUGCCUUUGUGACUGCAUAGCUAGAGUACGGCAGAGGGGGAUGGAAUUCCGCGUGUAGCAGUGAAAUGCGUAGAUAUGCGGAGGAACACCGAUGGCGAAGGCAAUCCCCUGGGCCUGUACUGACGCUCAUGCACGAAAGCGUGGGGAGCAAACAGGAUUAGAUACCCUGGUAGUCCACGCCCUAAACGAUGUCAACUGGUUGUUGGGUUUUAAUUAACUCAGUAACGAAGCUAACGCGUGAAGUUGACCGCCUGGGGAGUACGGCCGCAAGGUUGAAACUUAAAUGAAUUGACGG